rnacentral:rRNA from 1 species
GACGAACGCUGGCGGCGUGCUUAACACAUGCAAGUCGAACGGAAAGGCCCUGCUUUUGUGGGGUGCUCGAGUGGCGAACGGGUGAGUAACACGUGAGUAACCUGCCCUUGACUUUGGGAUAACUUCAGGAAACUGGGGCUAAUACCGGAUAGGAGCUCCUGCUGCAUGGUGGGGGUUGGAAAGUUUCGGCGGUUGGGGAUGGACUCGCGGCUUAUCAGCUUGUUGGUGGGGUAGUGGCUUACCAAGGCUUUGACGGGUAGCCGGCCUGAGAGGGUGACCGGCCACAUUGGGACUGAGAUACGGCCCAGACUCCUACGGGAGGCAGCAGUGGGGAAUAUUGCACAAUGGGCGGAAGCCUGAUGCAGCAACGCCGCGUGCGGGAUGACGGCCUUCGGGUUGCAAACCGCUUUCGCCUGUGACGAAGCGUGAGUGGCGGUAAUGGGUAAAGAAGCACCGGCUAACUACGUG